GCCCCCUGCAAUAAAAAAAUUUCGCUGCAAAGCUAAUUAAGAAAAACAUUUCAUCUCAAACCUAAGGACCAUUUCCACGCUCAGUACUCCCUCUUCUUCCCUCAGCUUUCCCUGCGUACUCUCUCACCUCCUCAUUCUUCUUCUUCUUCAUCUGCUCUCUUUCUCUCUCUAAUUCGUGGUUUUUUUGGGUUUUUUGCAAGUAAUUGUUGAAAUUGGGUGAAAAUUCGUCUUGGUUUUUGUGAAAAUUUGCUCGACUCCUUCUCUCCAAGCAUCUGGCCUUCGACCUCAGCCUUCGAACUCAGCCGCCGUCGAACUCAGCCGUCGAACUCAGCAACUCAGGCGUUGCUCGGCCCUGCGUCGCUGUCUUCGCCGAUGGGUUGUUUUUCCUGGGAAAAUAUUCAUUCAAUUGAGAAACAAACAUUGUGUUCCUUUUUCAAUGGGAAGGUGGAAAAUCGGACUCCGGAUGUCUACAAGGAGAUACGGACUUGGAUUAUGAAGAGGUUUCAUGCCAAUCCAAGCACAAACAUUGAACUGAAAGAUCUGUCGGAGCUGUUUAUUGGGGAUAUAGAUGCAAGAUGUUGACAAGGCAGAGCAAAUAGACUCUUUAAUUGAAAAGUUUUAUCAGUUACAACAUAAGCAAUCCUCUGUACUAUUAGUUCCAAGAGCCAACGUGUCAACAGCGGCAGUGCCUUCAGGCCUAUUUCCGGAGUCGAUCACAGAAGAGUUGGUAGAACAAGAGGGACCUGCAGUUGAGUAUCAUUGCAACUCUUCUUCUGUUGAUUGUUCUUGCAGUUGAGCAGGUGAUGGGAAGGUCUUCACCAAAUGACAAGCUACAGGCCUAUAAAAGGACAGUCUGCUGGACCAGCGUAGGAGAAGUGCAGACAUCGAGGAUGAUUUUUCGAUGAAAUUGGCUGAUAUGUUAAAAUAGUUCAAUGAAUGCUCUAGUUCUUUGAGUAGGCACAGAGAGAUGGACAGAGAGCUUGAAUUGAAGGAACACUAAUGUCCCUGUCUUCCCUGAAGAAGUAUGUGUCACCUAGUUGGGGGCAGCCAUUUGUAGGAGCUAGCAUUUUGGCAGUUUCAGGGAAUGGAGCUAGCAUUUGGAGAGAGGCUGAACUUGAAUCUUGGGACGACAAACUCAAUAAAGGCCUGGUUGUAUUUCGUGACGAUGGAAGCUCAGAGACGGUGGGGGCAGAAGCAAUGUCAUUAUCAUUCGAGUGAGAGAUCGAAGUAGACUGAUCAUAAGACUCUACGAAGGCUUGCUCAGAACCGUGAGGCAGCAAGGAAAAGCCGGUUGAGGAAAAAAGUCUACACUCCGAGGAUUGCGCCUUAUGCGAGGAAUUUGAUGUGGUUCGUGAGCAAUGGGCCAAGUUUUUUACCAGCAAGUAUUUAUUAUUGGCUUUAGCGCGCUUGAUCGAGUUGGUUUAGUUGUUAUAGAAUAAAUUUUAUAUUAAAAUGUAUGUUUAUGUUGAAAUUGGAACAUAUAUUUAAAUGUAAUAUGUGCACUUAAUUUGGUUUUGGGAUAUAUAGUAUACAAAACUCCAGUUGUUGUUUUUA